GGAGGAGUGGCCGAGCGGCUUAAGGCACACGUCUUGAAAACGUGCGAAGUUUCAAGACUUCCGUGGGUUCGAAUCCCACCUCCUCCG
rnacentral:tRNA from 1 species